UGCUUACAGCACAUUUGGAACAGGAUACGGGAACACUUGGCUGACUGCUUUUGUGCUGAGAUCUUUUGCCAAAGCACAGUCUUUCAUCUACAUCGACCCAGAAAAGAUUGCAGAGUCAAAGACUUGGCUGGAGAGCAAACA